rnacentral:lncRNA from 1 species
GGAAGCACACAUUGAAGCUGUGUCAUUUGGGAACCCAAAUCCCAUUUUGUAGCAUCAUCACAUGAAGGAGUGCUCUAUUCCUGUUGCCUGAUGUGCUGGCAGCCCCAGUGGGGAGCACUGGACCUCUCAAUGCCUCACAGCAUCCUUGUCAGAGCUAAGUAAUAAGAAACACUUGGUAGACUUAAAAACUUGCUUAUGUUAAAGCUUUAAAUCUUUAAAAGCCCAAAAGCACAUUUAAAUUUGAUGAGAUCACAACAUUUUUUCCUCUCAGCUGUACAGCUCACAAUCCCUUUCCACGGAGAGAAGAGCAGUGCUGACCCCAACUAGGGAUGCAGAGGGGGCUGCAGUUGCCCUGGAGGGGCUGGGACUCAUGGCUUGUAAUGUUGAUCUUGCAUUGUUAGGUUGCCCCCUCACACCUCCCUUUGCAUCCUCUCUGCCUCCAAACUGCUGCUUUCUUUCCUAAAAAAGCCUAGAAAGACAUUAAGAGCUUUCUCUUUCUUCUGAAUAUCUCAGGGAAGGCAGAAAGAAAAGCAGGGCAGCUGCUCUCCCUUUUCUUGUAACGAGGAGGAAGCUGUUUACCCCUUCUCUGCACACAGGUGGCUGCUAUGCAGCAUUAACAACUACUGCUCUCACCUGCUUUUGCCAGUAACUGUGCACAGCUGGUGAGCUGCCUUCAUCCCAGAUAUGCUUCGGGGUUCCCUUUGCUCUUCUGGCAGUCUGUGCUUGUGGUCAACUUGGGAGGACUCAAGUUUGUCCUCUGAGCAGCCAUGAAGCUUUUCAUCACCAGACUGAACAGGGCUUGUGGUUUCCAGGAGGUCAGGACGUGGUUCUGUGGCCAGUUGCUGCAAAUCUGCAAAGAAAGUAACUUAUCCAGCCUACGGCAGAAUCCCUUGUAGUGCUGUGAUGUGCCCCUGAAGGUAUCUCAUGUAAGGUCAGACUUUCUUUUCCCUUAUCCAAUUUUCCCUUCCUCUGAGAAAGUAACCAUUACCAUCCUGUGCUGUGAGAGAGUUGGUAGCUGCUGGCUUCUUCUUCCCUUUUGCUUUGCCUCUGGCUUUCACCUUAUUUUUCCUUAUGGUUCUGUCCAGGUCACUUCCUUGCACAAAUACAUAGAAGGUUACUCAGAUAUCUACUAGGCUUUCUGCUGCAAUGCUUUGGGCUCUGCUUGGUAUGCAGGUGAUAGGGCUGCUGUUGGUAUGGCGAGUUGGGGGCCUGCAGCUGCAGGCCAGCCCUAAAUGGGAAUGGGUUAUUUUGGAGCAUGAAUGCUCAUGAAGCCUCAUUUCUGCCA